rnacentral:rRNA from 1 species
UACGGAGGAUCCAAGCGUUAUCCGGAUUUAUUGGGUUUAAAGGGUGCGUAGGCGGAAUUGUAAGUCAGUGGUGAAAGCCUGCAGCUUAACUGCAGAACUGCCAUUGAUACUGCAAAUCUUGAGUACAUUUGAUGUGGGCGGAAUGUGUCAUGUAGCGGUGAAAUGCAUAGAUAUGACACAGAACACCGAUUGCGAAGGCAGCUCACAAGACUGUAACUGACGCUGAGGCACGAAAGCGUGGGGAUCGAACAGG